GGGGGUGUAAAGGUUUCGACGGGGAUCGUGAGCCUUAGUAAGCGAGUAGCGGUGCGGAACCGCUUUAAAAUCCGCAAACUUAAAAUUAAACGACAACAAUACAGUUGCCUUAGCAGCCUAAGUGCUGCUCGUUCUGACCGAGAUUACCGCGGCUCGGUUAAGGGCGCCGAUUAGCGGUGAACGUGAUCGGAUGUGAGCUUCAGCCCAGGUCAUGUAUUUGAAGCUACCAAUGGUUCAAGCCUGCCUAUGGGCGUGAUUCAAAGGGAAUGAAAAAACACAGGCUACACUCGUAGAAAGCUUUGGUAAGCGGUUUUCGGACAGGAGUUCGAUUCUCCUCACCUCCACCA
rnacentral:tmRNA from 1 species